GACGAACGCUGGCGGCGUGCUUAACACAUGCAAGUCGAACGGAAAGGCCCUGCUUGUGUGGGGUGCUCGAGUGGCGAACGGGUGAGUAACACGUGAGUAACCUGCCCUUGACUUUGGUAUAACUUCAGGAAACUGGGGCUAAUACCGGAUAGGAGCUCCUGCUGCAUGGUGGGCGUUGGAAAUUUUCGGCGGUUGGGGAUGGAUGCGCGGCUGAUCAGCUUGUUGGUGGGGUAGUGGCUGACCAAGGCUUUGAAGGGUAGCCGGCAUGAGAGGGUGACCGGCGACAUUAGGACUGCGGUACGGACCAGAGUCCUACGGGGGGCAGCGGUGGGGAGUAUUGCACAAUGGGAGGAAGCGUGAUGCAGCAGCGCCGCGGUCGGGAUGACGGCCUGUGGGGUGUAAACCGCUUUAGCCUGUGACGAAGCGUGAGUGACGGUAAUGGGUAAAGAAGCACCGGCUAACUACGUG
rnacentral:rRNA from 1 species